AACGCCAAGCAAGGGCCCCAAAUCAUAAGUAAGUGGGAAAACGAUGUGGGAAGGCAUAGACAGCUAGGAGGUUGGCUUAGAAGCAGCCACCCUUUAAAGAAAGCGUAAUAGCUCACUAGUCGAGUCGGCCUGCGCGGAAGAUGUAACGGGGCUAAAACUAUGUGCCGAAGCUGCGGAUGUAUACUUUGUAUACGUGGUAGGGGAGCGUUCUGUAAGCCGAUGAAGGUGUGUUGAGAAGCAUGCUGGAGGUAUCAGAAGUGCGAAUGCUGACGUGAGUAACGACAAAACGGGUGAAAAACCCGUUCGCCGAAAGACCAAGGGUUCCAGUCCAACGUUAAUCGGGGCUGGGUGAGUCGACCCCUAAGGCGAGGCCGAAAGGCGUAGUCGAUGGGAAAAUGGUUAAUAUUCCAUUACUUCUGUGUAAUGCGAUGAGAGGACGGAGAAGGCUAAAUCAGCCUGGCGUUGGUUGUCCAGGUGAAAGGAUGUAGGCAUGUAUCUUAGGCAAAUCCGGGGUACUCUAUGCUGAGAUCUGAUAGCAAGCUGUACUUGUACAGCGAAGUGGUUGAUGCCAUGCUUCCAGGAAAAGUCUCUAAGCUUCAGUUACACAGGAAUCGUACCCGAAACCGACACAGGUGGUCAGGUCGAGUAGACCAAGGCGCUUGAGAGAACUCUGCUGAAGGAACUAGGCAAAAUGGUACCGUAACUUCGGGAGAAGGUACGCUGUUGUUGGUGAUGGAACUCGCUUCCUGAGCUGACGACAGCCGCAGAAACCAGGCCGCUGCAACUGUUUAUUAAAAACAUAGCACUCUGCAAACACGAAAGUGGACGUAUAGGGUGUGAUGCCUGCCCGGUGCUGGAAGGUUAAUUGAUGGGGUUAGCGUAAGCGAAGCUCUUGAUCGAAGCCCCAGUAAACGGCGGCCGUAACUAUAACGGUCCUAAGGUAGCGAAAUUCCUUGUCGGGUAAGUUCCGACCUGCACGAAUGGCAUAAUGAUGGCGGCGCUGUCUCCAGCAGAGGCUCAGUGAAAUCGAAAUCGCUGUGAAGAUGCAGUGUACCCGCGGCUAGACGGAAAGACCCCGUGAACCUUUACUGCAGCUUGACACUGAACUUUGACCUUACUUGUGUAGGAUAGGUGGGAGGCUUUGAAGCUGGAACGCUAGUUCCAGUGGAGCCGUCCUUGAAAUACCACCCUGGUAAUGUUGAGGUUCUAACUCUGUCCCGUGAUCCGGGACGAGGACCGUGUCUGGUGGGUAGUUUGACUGGGGCGGUCUCCUCCUAAAGAGUAACGGAGGAGUACGAAGGUGCGCUCAGCGUGGUCGGAAAUCACGCGUAGAGUAUAAAGGCAAAAGCGCGCUUAACUGCGAGACCCACAAGUCGAGCAGGUACGAAAGUAGGUCUUAGUGAUCCGGUGGUUCUGUAUGGAAGGGCCAUCGCUCAACGGAUAAAAGGUACUCUGGGGAUAACAGGCUGAUACCGCCCAAGAGUUCAUAUCGACGGCGGUGUUUGGCACCUCGAUGUCGGCUCAUCUCAUCCUGGGGCUGAAGCAGGUCCCAAGGGUAUGGCUGUUCGCCAUUUAAAGAGGUACGCGAGCUGGGUUUAGAACGUCGUGAGACAGUUCGGUCCCUAUCUACCGUGGGCGCUGGAAAUUUGAGAGGAUCUGCUCCUAGUACGAGAGGACCAGAGUGGACGAACCUCUGGUGUACCGGUUGUGACGCCAGUCGCAUCGCCGGGUAGCUAUGUUCGGAAGGGAUAACCGCUGAAAGCAUCUAAGCGGGAAGCCUACCUCAAGAUAAGAUUUCCCUAGGACUUUAUGUCCUCUAAAGAGCCGUUCGAGACUAGGACGUUGAUAGGUUGGAUGUGGAAGCAUAGUGAUAUGUGAAGCUGACCAAUACUAAUUGCUCGUGAGGCUUGACUAU
rnacentral:rRNA from 1 species